AGUAAUUAACUUUAGGAAAGUAAAGGCCCUAGAGGCUUCUGAAAAGAUUUCCUUACUCUCAAUUCUCCCUGAGCAUUGCUUGAUAUUUGCCUCCCCCUGAGCUGUAGAGCCCAAAGGGAAGAUGAGAAGCAAGUCCUGCUGAUAUGGAUGCGGAUCACAUUUGCGUGACUCAGAGCUGUGGGGAGGCCAUCUGUUGAGAUGAGAACCUGUGAAGAUGGAAGGAACCUAGAUGUUUGAGUCAUGGGGUGGAGAAGAGACCAUGUAAACCUACAUUGAAAUUUGUGUGACUCCCUCCCCCUCAACCAGCUUAGAAGUCGGGUGGAAGAGGAAGCUGGAUGGAACAACAUGAGCCCUGGUCAGGGCAGACUUAAGCCAGGAGAUGAAGUGCCAUAUACAGAGAAAACCUCAGUGGGAUCCCAGAUGGAGCACAAUUCCUGAUGCUUAAGGUGGGAAGAGAAGCUGGAAACCUAGAAUUAUUUCAACUCAAUCACCAGCCAUUCACUGACUUUUUACCAUGUAUAAAUCCUGAUCAACCUCAAAAAGAGUAAUAUUAAGUUUGAUUCUUACACUUUUUAAAAAAAAUAUAUCCAAGAUACAACUAUCAAAAGAUGGCCCAGAAUCAACUGCCAGAUUAACUAUAUGGCCCAUAGAUAAUGAUAGAGGAGGGAACUUAAAAAACUACUUUCUUGUGCAAAAAUUAUACCUGUCACAAAAUAAAGAUAAAGUGGAGCACUA
ensembl:lncRNA LINC01182 long intergenic non-protein coding RNA 1182